AGAGUUUGAUCAUGGCUCAGAUUGAACGCUGGCGGCAGGCCUAACACAUGCAAGUCGAACGGUAACAGGAAGCAGCUUGCUGCUUCGCUGACGAGUGGCGGACGGGUGAGUAAUGUCUGGGAAACUGCCUGAUGGAGGGGGAUAACUACUGGAAACGGUGGCUAAUACCGCAUAACGUCGCAAGACCAAAGAGGGGGACCUUCGGGCCUCUUGCCAUCAGAUGUGCCCAGAUGGGAUUAGCUUGUUGGUGAGGUAACGGCUCACCAAGGCGACGAUCCCUAGCUGGUCUGAGAGGAUGACCAGCCACACUGGAACUGAGACACGGUCCAGACUCCUACGGGAGGCAGCAGUGGGGAAUAUUGCACAAUGGGCGCAAGCCUGAUGCAGCCAUGCCGCGUGUAUGAAGAAGGCCUUCGGGUUGUAAAGUACUUUCAGCGGGGAGGAAGGUGUUGUGGUUAAUAACCGCAGCAAUUGACGUUACCCGCAGAAGAAGCACCGGCUAACUCCGUGCCAGCAGCCGCGGUAAUACGGAGGGUGCAAGCGUUAAUCGGAAUUACUGGGCGUAAAGCGCACGCAGGCGGUCUGUCAAGUCGGAUGUGAAAUCCCCGGGCUCAACCUGGGAACUGCAUUCGAAACUGGCAGGCUUGAGUCUUGUAGAGGGGGGUAGAAUUCCAGGUGUAGCGGUGAAAUGCGUAGAGAUCUGGAGGAAUACCGGUGGCGAAGGCGGCCCCCUGGACAAAGACUGACGCUCAGGUGCGAAAGCGUGGGGAGCAAACAGGAUUAGAUACCCUGGUAGUCCACGCCGUAAACGAUGUCUACUUGGAGGUUGUGCCCUUGAGGCGUGGCUUCCGGAGCUAACGCGUUAAGUAGACCGCCUGGGGAGUACGGCCGCAAGGUUAAAACUCAAAUGAAUUGACGGGGGCCCGCACAAGCGGUGGAGCAUGUGGUUUAAUUCGAUGCAACGCGAAGAACCUUACCUGGUCUUGACAUCCACGGAAGUUUUCAGAGAUGAGAAUGUGCCUUCGGGAACCGUGAGACAGGUGCUGCAUGGCUGUCGUCAGCUCGUGUUGUGAAAUGUUGGGUUAAGUCCCGCAACGAGCGCAACCCUUAUCCUUUGUUGCCAGCGGUUAGGCCGGGAACUCAAGGGAGACUGCCAGUGAUAAACUGGAGGAAGGUGGGGAUGACGUCAAGUCAUCAUGGCCCUUACGACCAGGGCUACACACGUGCUACAAUGGCGCAUACAAAGAGAAGCGACCUCGCGAGAGCAAGCGGACCUCAUAAAGUGCGUCGUAGUCCGGAUUGGAGUCUGCAACUCGACUCCAUGAAGUCGGAAUCGCUAGUAAUCGUGGAUCAGAAUGCCACGGUGAAUACGUUCCCGGGCCUUGUACACACCGCCCGUCACACCAUGGGAGUGGGUUGCAAAAGAAGUAGGUAGCUUAACCUUCGGGAGGGCGCUUACCACUUUGUGAUUCAUGACUGGGGUGAAGUCGUAACAAGGUAACCGUAGGGGAACCUGCGGUUGGAUCACCU
rnacentral:rRNA from 1 species